rfam:Dipodomys ordii contig_38190, whole genome shotgun sequence.
GGUGGCUCAGUGGUAGAGCAUUUGCCUUGCAUGCAUGAGGCCUUGGGUUUGAUUCCUCAGCACCA